ACGGAGGGUGCAAGCGUUAUCCGGAUUCACUGGGUUUAAAGGGUGCGUAGGUGGGCAGGUAAGUCAGUGGUGAAAUCCCCGAGCUUAACUUGGGAACUGCCAUUGAUACUAUUUGUCUUGAAUACUGUGGAGGUCAGCGGAAUAUGUCAUGUAGCGGUGAAAUGCUUAGAUAUGACAUAGAACACCAAUUGCGAAGGCAGCUGGCUACGCAUAUAUUGACACUGAGGCACGAAAGCGUGGGGAUCAAACAGGAUUAGAUACCCUGGUAGUCCACGCCCUAAACGAUGGAUACUCGACAUUUGCGAUACACAGUAAGUGUCUGAGCGAAAGCAUUAAGUAUCCCACCUGGGAAGUACGAUCGCAAGAUUG
rnacentral:rRNA from 1 species